rnacentral:rRNA from 1 species
AGUGAACGCUGGCGGUAGGCCUAACACAUGCAAGUCGAACGGCAGCACAGUAAGAGCUUGCUCUUACGGGUGGCGAGUGGCGGACGGGUGAGGAAUACAUCGGAAUCUACUUUUUCGUGGGGGAUAACGUAGGGAAACUUACGCUAAUACCGCAUACGACCUACGGGUGAAAGCAGGGGAUCUUCGGACCUUGCGCGAUUGAAUGAGCCGAUGUCGGAUUAGCUAGUUGGCGGGGUAAAGGCCCACCAAGGCGACGAUCCGUAGCUGGUCUGAGAGGAUGAUCAGCCAGACUGGAACUGAGACACGGUCCAGACUCCUACGGGAGGCAGCAGUGGGGAAUAUUGGGCAAUGGGCGAAAGCCGGAUCCAGCCAUACCGCGUGAGUGAAGAAGGCCUUCGGGUUGUAAAACCCUUUUGUUGGGAAAGAAAAGCAGCAGGUUAAUACCCCGCUGUUCUGACGGUACCCAAAGAAUAAGCACCGGCUAACUUCGUG